UAAAUUAAUUACAAUCAUCAUGAUCAACCCAUCGCCGGCCCACUACUGAUCACGGGUCUCGUUCGCCAGAGUGAGAAUGGCUUGGGCUAUAGUUCGCCGACUGCGUUAGGCCAAUGUGUACUGUGCUCUUAACACGUUACAAGUUACGUUCUACUGACAAAAUCACAUUCAUAUUUAUAGACAGUGUAAAAAUAAUGUUUAUAAACAUUGGCCUAUGUCCUAUGAGAUAUAAUAAUCAUUAGAAUUCAUUGUACUUCAUCUAGUUGAAAGCUUAAUCUUAUUAUCACACAUAUCUAUUAUGUAGAUAUAGAACGUCGAAUAUAAUAUAAAAGUUAACACUAAAAUGUGCUAAGAGCUGAUGGAAAGUUAGGAGGAGGUGCUUGAUCCAUUGAUAAAAGCUUCUAUUGUCUACAUUCCAUGAGCAUAGUAAUAGAAUAUUGCAAUUUUGUAAAUGAUUUUAAUUGUUUUAUUAAACAACUUUCUUAUUUAUCGCAUGUUUAAUUUUUAAUUUAAAUAAUAAUGUUUAGUUGAAUAUAAUUAAAAACAUAUUCGUGAAUCAGUUCGUGAUACAAUAUUUAUUAAAUUAAUUGCAACUCCCAAUAAAUGGCAUGUUAAUCUCAUAGGAGACAUUGGCAAGUCUAGGUACUUUCUGUACUAUAGGUACCUAAUAGAUUUCUGUAUUGUACUGCAGUUAGUAGGUACCUAAUAUAGACAAAUCACUGAUUUAGGAAAAAGACUCGUGAGAAAAAGCUACACAAAUCAGCUCUUCAUCAUUUUAUCAAGGACCUCCUAUAAACGCAACAACAGCUCUCCAGCGAAUAGAGCCUAAGAGCAGCAGCAAACACUAGUAAUGUGGAGUCAGACUUGUAAAUUGUAAUCACCAGACAAAAUUUAUUUUAAUUUGUGCGACUAACCGUCACUGUGAAGAUAUCUAAUGAAUUAAGUAUUGAAUCUUAACAUUUACCAGCGAUUUUUAUCAUUUUUCAGGUUCCUUUAUUUCGAACCAAUUUUGAACGUAAAAAAUUAAUAAAGUAGGUAGAUACUUAUUUUAAUUUUGGUUUAGUGAUUUCGGUAGUCGUAGGUACCUAUCAUUAAACUAAUUAGUUUAGAAACAAUUAAACAGACCUAAAUUUUCAGAAAUAACAAUUUAGAAACGAUUAAAUCGCCUUUAAUUUACGUUUAAAAUAUUUUUAUUUAAGUAGGUUUUAAAAAACUAUUUAAAGUGCAGUGUAAAUCCAGUCAUCCACUAGUGAUUUAAUUUAUUGUGUGGGUUUUAUGUAUUAUUAUACAAACAUCUAAGACGAUUUUGAGGAAAUUCUUAUACCCUCUAGUGGACAUAGGGCGUAGAACCUCAGUUUCCUUGAAUUCAGGAGAGCAGGUUCUAUAUAAAUAACUGCGAACAACUAGGACCAUCUUUCUAACAACAGCUGCCUCUAAUAUAAGCACAUAUUAUUAAGUAAAUAUAUAACAUUCAGUCGAUAUAUCAAGGUAGGUACAUUACAAAAUUUGUAUCAUAAGUGGUCAAAUUGGAAUUAUUAUAAAUCUUACUCAUAAGUUAUACCACUUUAUUAUAAUUAUACUUACCUACUGUUUCUCUAACGAAGAACUAUAUUUUUGAUCAAUUACUACAAUAUGCAUACCCAAUCGUAUUUUACACUAAGUAUUAUAAAUAGACAGAUAUACAUAUUAAACAGCCACGAUUUUUGUCAAAUUCUUACUUUCGCUUAAACGUUAACAAUUUAUGGAGAUAAUUAGUUUCAGAAUUAGGUAAAAAAUUCCAUUAAAAACCUUACUGUUAUUAUUCUAAAGAUUCCAAUAAUUUAGAGAUAUUGUUUAAAUCGAUUGUAAAAAGUAAUAUGUAGGUUCCAAUAUCUACUUUCCUUCGACACUAUUCCAUUAAUCACAUAGUGAAGCAAGAGUUUUAUUUAGAUAAUAAUGCGGUGGGUUCCUAGAUCUUCCGCAUACCUGUAAAACUAAUUAUUACCUACACAAUUGAUUAACAAUUCUGAAUAUCGAUUAGGUAAUCGAAAUACCUAUUGAUUGAAAAGCGAUAUCCCCCAUAACGACCACAACUAAUAAAUCUGUUAAAUCAAUUUUGAUGAAAUUUAUAUGAGCAGUAAGGUCUUUCAUUUAAUUUAAAACUGCUCUUAUUCGAUAGUUCACGAUUAUCGAUUAUUUAUCAUUAUUUUCCGACAUACUAGUUUGGUUACAACCGUCACGUAAGACAGUAGACAUUGGCUCAUUACUAUAUAAUACUUAUAGAUGUUUCUACUGAUUCUUUGUACCUAUUGCACUUACAAAAUGGGUAUUAUUUUAUUAUUUAAAACAUUUAUUUUAAACAAACACUAGAACGAUACCACCUAUCCAUGCAGAAUAUUCUAGAACUAUAGAAAACGUUAACUAUAUUCCACUAAUGGUCAAAGAGCUGAUAGGAAAUUUUUAGGUGAUGCUUGAUUUAAAAUGAAAUCGCGCAUAACUGUUUCGCUGUGUAGUGAUGGAAUUCUGAUUUAUUUUUUUCCUGUAAAUCACUAACUAAAAUCUCAUUUUUUGUAUAAAAUUGUCUAGUAGGUACGUAGGUGCUGUACUGAACAUGUCAAAUUUCUAAAGGGCGAUGUAGGCAUUGAGUAGAUUUGUAAUUGUUACAUUGGAUACGAUUAAAAAUGUCUUGCAGACUGUCAUGAAAUUCUCAAAUUACAAAUUUCCCGUGUCCGGUCUUUUCUGUGGUUACCUACCUACUGUAACUGACAGUAGAAAUUAGAAGUACUAUUUUACAAACUUACAGCGUUUAUCAAGCACCUCUUAAAAAUUUACCACCAUCUCCCCGGCUAUAAUAAGGGGCGAACGAAAAUGUCUACUAAGAGGCAAAUAAUAAGAAUGAUUAUUGUCUGACACUGGGUUAUUGUCGAGACAGCAGCUCGGGCGACGUCGCCUCUAUUGACUACAAGGGCCUCGCGGGCUCCGGCCGCGGCCAUGCGACCUUAGCCUCUAUAACAAUGUGAUAAGGUACAAAAAUGCGCAAUUCAUUUUCACUACUAGAAUGCACACAGACUAAAGGAAAACAUAGACACUCGCGAACACAUCCAUUCAAGAAAGUAUCAGUUAUAAUUAUUGUUAUGUAGCGUCACUAAAAGCGUUUCUCUAAGCAUGAUUCAUAUUCUGGUGCAUCUAUUAGUCUAUUUUUCCUUUAAUCUGAGUGAAAUACCAUGGUCCUAUUAAUGGGAAAAAAUUAAAUCAGUGCUAUUUAUUUUGAAAUCAAAUCGUCCAAAUUGAGGAUAUUCUUUGAAAGAAUAUAAACUUUUAAUCGUACAGAGGCACCCACACGCGUAACUCUUCAGAGUUAGGUACAUAUUUUGAAAAUUAGAGAAUAGUAUUGAAAAUUGGAAUUUUAAGAGAUCUUUAAUUCUUGUAGAUAUGCAGGCAACAGUUUAGAAAUCUACUUACGACUCUUAUGAGGCUCCUAAUUUUUUGAUAAGAAAGCUCGCGUGUGGAGUAACUUGUUAUAAUGUUUUUCUAUCUUUGCGUGUUGUUGGACCACGGCAAUGCUAAAAUAUAGUGUUCAAACUUCAGUUACUACAUGACAGGUCCACAUGUAAAAAAAAAACAAAAACUAAAUGUAACGAAAAGGAAACGGGGUGCGAAAAUAAAAGUAAAGUAAAAAGGGGUAUCUGGAUGUUUAUUUACAAUUCUCUCAUAAUAACUAUGUGAUUAUAAAAUGAAGAAAAAAUAACCUUAAGCAACAUUUCAGUGCUAUUCCCCUGAUCACCAAAAAAAUAUGUUAAUGGUUCCACCCGCCUGCGGACGCAAGCGCCUACAAACUAAAAUUAAUCAUUAAAAUACCCAUUAUCGUAUAUAGUUAGCUUUCAGCUUGUACCGAAGGUACAGUUACAAAUAAUUGUUACAAGAAAUCAAAAGAAAACCUAAGUCUAUAACAGUUUCACCGGCGCAAACUAAAAAUUAUAGUAGUUUCAUACAAUCACAGUGAAAAUCGAUAAUUAUAACCCAAAUGUGCGUUGGGGGAUGUGAUAAACAAACUUAAGCUAACAAUAAUAAUAAUUAAAAAACCUAGCGUUUGAAUAUACAUUGUGAAUAAUUAUACAACUUACAAAUAGCAAAUAGGUAUUUGUACAUUAUAUCGGUCGUUAUAACAUUAUCGGGUACUUGGCUUAUUCAUUCCAUUGCAAACAAAAAUUCAAUGUACCUACUAAAUUAUUAAUAACUGAGAAUAAAGCUCUAAAGUUAUAUUAAUAUUAGGUAGAAACGUCAAUACUGAUUAGAGACGUCAGUUCUGUUUUCGACGCAAUCUUUGUACGGUGUAAGAAAGAGAGAAAGAUACUUUGAUUUGACAUUUAACUAGGCUCAAAUAAUGAAACAAAAACUAAAGGUGGUGCUUUCCUUUUUUAAAAUGUAUAUUGUGGAAAAAGAUGGUAAUUGAAUUAGUUAAUCAUUUAUCUUUUAAUAAUAGUAUAUUCUACAAUCUUAACAUGUCAAGACUAUUUACAAGGAAAAGUAAUCAUAUUGUCAAGUACCUUAUCAGUAAUAAUUGUCAACAUUUAACAUCAAAAGGAGAUUAGGAGUAAACUACGGUGAAACUAAGGUGAAACGAAUUAUUAAAACAUCUAAAACUAAAUAUACAUAUACCGGGGCAUCGUUAGGUACAACUGAUUAUUAUUUGCGAACGCAUUUUUUUCUAAAAUUUAUUGCAACAACCCAAAUUUACAAUCAGUUUUUUUUUAAAUAAUAUACUACGAUCGAAUAAAAUCACAGAAUCGAUGGACAGAUUGUAUUGGUGUUGUACCUGGUACAUUAUACCAUUUUCUAUUUGACAUAAGCCCACCUGUCAAGUUUUUAUUUAAGACUGUCAAGAAUCCUUUUAAAAGUUGCGAAAUUAAUAACAUAUUACCGCGUUGACAACAGCAAAAUUGAAUCAAAUAAUAGCAAAACUACACUGAGUAAAUCUUUAUCGCUAAUCAAACAACACUAUUCUGUCAAAUAGAAAAUGUGUAGUAUAAUGGACAAAGUAUAGUACCUAUAGUUCCUUUUCAAAUGACCUAGUGCCCAUAUUAACCUUGCCAAUAUGCCCCAUUUGAUAACUUAUACAAUAUAAUAGUAAAUAGUAAGGCAAUAAUGAAAUCACGUUUAAAAACCAAAUAAGCAGCAUCUUUACAAACUAGAAAAGAAAAGUACACACUAACAUUCCAAUUUUAAUUAUUACGCUUAUAAAUAAAAUAAACCCCAAAAAUCCGAAAUGAAACUGCUACUAAAAACUUAAUAACGACGCGAAAUAUGAUAUCUGACUAUAACAAUUUAUUAUUUAGGUUGAAAGCGAUUGUUAAAAUAACACCAAAGAAAGAGUACCUUCUCUUUUAACUGUAAACUAAGUAAAAGCAAAAA